rnacentral:rRNA from 1 species
UACGUAGGGGGCAAGCGUUGUCCGGAUUUAUUGGGCGUAAAGAGCGUGUAGGCGGUUAGGUAGGUCCGUUGUGAAAACUCGAGGCUCAACCUCGAGACGCCGAUGGAAACCAUCUGACUAGAGUCUGGAAGAGGAGAGUGGAAUUCCUGGUGUAGCGGUGAAAUGCGCAGAUAUCAGGAAGAACACCCGUGGCUAAGGCGGCUCUCUAGUACGUGACUGACGCUGAGACGCGGAAAGCGUGGGGAGCGAACAGG